UAAUAUUUAUAUUAAAAUAAUAAAAUAUAAAUAUCGUUUCAUACCGUUACAGUGUACUCAUUAUAAUAAUAUAGAAUCUAUAUUUAAUUCAUAUUAUGAACAAAAAUAAAUUAUAUCAAAAAGAUUAGUAAGAACCAGGCAAUUUUCGAUUGAACUAUUUAUCGUAUUCAAUGUCAACGAAAUUUUGUCCCGGACAAAAGGCGCACACGUUUACAGUCAAACCGUAAUUUAACCACUGACUGAACAUGAUGGAAAAUAUAUUUUAUACGUUAGCUACAAUACUAUAGAAUUAUAUUAUUACGCUGAUUGUUGCAAUAUGGAGAGGAUAUGCGAUAUAGAAACUAUUAUAUUAUAACGAAUCCUGUCUAUAAAAUAACAACUAAUAAAAGAAGCUAUGAUGAUAUGACAACUAAAAUCAAUAUAACUUUGUUUUUUAAAAAUAAAUGUACAAUAUGUAUAAA